GAUGAACGCUGGCGGCGUGCCUAAUACAUGCAAGUCGAGCGAACAGACGAGGAGCUUGCUCCUCUGACGUUAGCGGCGGACGGGUGAGUAACACGUGGAUAACCUACCUAUAAGACUGGGAUAACUUCGGGAAACCGGAGCUAAUACCGGAUAAUAUAUUGAACCGCAUGGUUCAAUAGUGAAAGACGGUUUUGCUGUCACUUAUAGAUGGAUCCGCGCCGCAUUAGCUAGUUGGUAAGGUAACGGCUUACCAAGGCAACGAUGCGUAGCCGACCUGAGAGGGUGAUAGGCCACACUGGAACUGAGACACGGUCAAGACUCCUACGGGAGGCAGCAGUAGGGAAUCUUCCGCAAUGGGAGAAAGCCUGACGGAGCAACGCCGCGUGAGUGAUGAAGGUCUUCGGAUCGUAAAACUCUGUUAUUAGGGAAGAACAAAUGUGUAAGUAACUAUGCACGUCUUGACGGUACCUAAUCAGAAAGCCACGGCUAACUACGUG
rnacentral:rRNA from 1 species